CAGGGAUGCAAAAAUUUAUAAAAACAUAAUUUUAAUAUUUGGUUAAGGGCAUUCUUGAUCGAGCAGGACACCCGAGUCUAAAUAUAAACAUCAUCAUCUUUUAAAUGUUCUUAUAUUAUAUUUCUCCCUUAUAUAAUGCCAUUCCCCACUAACCUGACUGAAGUCAUUAACAUUUAACAUUUGUUCUUCAGUCAGAUAUAUUUAAAUCUGACUGACUUAUCAAAGAAUGAAUAAAUGUUUUGUGUAAAACAGGUUUAUUUACAAUACCUUGAAGUACUAAGCAUAAAAAGAGUCUUUACAAUAGAUAUUUUUCAAAUAUUUCUGUGAACUAUCAAAUACAAAUUUUCCAAAUGCCAAGCGAUGCCAUUUUAAAUGAGCUCAAACAUUUCUUUCUAGAUAGUUGUUGUCUGAGUGACCUGUUCAGUGAUUGUGUUAUUGUGUGUUUACAUGCAGGUCUCAUAAUAUUGAGUAAUACCAUAAUAUUGAUCAAAUCUGAUGUCUUGGGCCAUUGGUCAGUUUAUAUUUACUUUGAUAAUGUUUUGGAGAGAGCUUCUAUUUGCUGUGUUGGUUGGACUUGGAAAAAGCUGUUGGUGGAGGGUCAAUGUCCAACACUGAACCCUGUGACGAACCGGCAAACACACACACACACACACACACACACACACAUACAUCUGUUUCGAUCAUAUGUGAUUGCAGGAGGACGCUUCAAGGGAAUCUUUGCUGAGGGUCAGUAACGGGAUGAGAUGGGGCUCAUGGGGUCAAAAGGAAAUGUGUCCAUCUUGAAUGUAAUCUUAAUGUUAUCUCUAAGGCAGUGUGAUCCAAAACAGUGACAAAAUUUGCAUUUAGAAGAUUUCAGAGCAUUCAGCAUUCAGAGCUUGCACUUCCGCCAAAAUGGCUCAUUGAUUUUUUUUUUUACUUCAUCUUCUGAAAGAUCAUGUUCCAUGAUGAUAUUUUGUAAAUUUCCUACUGUAAAUAUAUGAAAAAUUAUUUUUUGAUUAGUAAUAUGCAUUACUAAGAACUUAGCCUUUAAAUAUAUGCAUUUUCACCAUGUUUUUAAGAAUAAAGUGUUUAUAAAUCAGUGUGAAUGAUGAUAUAUGCACAAACCCCACAGUAAAAACCUUCAGAACAUAAAAAAGAAUAAAUCUCUAAGUUUUGGUGUAUGUUCGUGCUGCUGAAGUGGAGAAAAACUUUUAAAAGACAUUCAUUGGAAUUGAAAUCUACAGAUGCAAAUAAAUAAAUUGCAAUAAAAUAAACACUUAAAUGUGUAUUUUGAAUGUUUUCUUUCCACUAGUCUGAAAGAAGACAAGUUAUGGAAGCAAAACCUCAAAAUGUAGCAGUGCAUG